AGAGUUUGAUCCUGGCUCAGAAUCAACGCUGGCGGCGUGCCUAACACAUGCAAGUCGAACGAGAAAGUGGAGCAAUCCAUGAGUAAAGUGGCGCACGGGUGAGUAACACGUGACUAACCUACCCUUGAGUGGGGGAUAACCUAGAGAAAUCUGGGCUAAUACCGCAUAAUACCUUCGGGUCAAAGGAGCAAUUCGCUUAAGGAGGGGGUCGCGGCCGAUUAGUUAGUUGGCGGGGUAAUGGCCCACCAAGACGAUGAUCGGUAUCCGGCCUGAGAGGGCGCACGGACACACUGGAACUGAAACACGGUCCAGACUCCUACGGGAGGCAGCAGUGGGGAAUUUUGCGCAAUGGGGGAAACCCUGACGCAGCAACGCCGCGUGGAGGAUGAAGCCCCUUGGGGCGUAAACUCCUUCGAUCGGGACG
rnacentral:rRNA from 1 species